UGAGGAAUAUUGGUCAAUGGGCGAGAGCCUGAACCAGCCAAGUAGCGUGCAGGACGACGGCCCUAUGGGUUGUAAACUGCUUUUAUGUGGGGAUAAAGUGCGUGACGUGUCAUGCAUUGCAGGUACCACAUGAAUAAGGACCGGCUAAUUCCGUGCCAGCAGCCGCGGUAAUACGGAAGGUCCGGGCGUUAUCCGGAUUUAUUGGGUUUAAAGGGAGCGUAGGCUGUUUGUUAAGCGUGUUGUGAAAUGUAAGAGCUCAACUUUUAGAUUGCAGCGCGAACUGGCAGACUUGAGUGCGCACAACGUAGGCGGAAUUCAUGGUGUAGCGGUGAAAUGCUUAGAUAUCAUGACGAACUCCGAUUGCGAAGGCAGCUUACGGGAGCGCAACUGACGCUAAAGCUCGAAGGUGCGGGUAUCGAACAGG
rnacentral:rRNA from 1 species